rnacentral:tRNA from 1 species
GCCCGUGUAGCUCAAUGGCAGAGCAACGCACUCUUAAUGCGAUGGUUGGAGGUUCGACUCCUCUCGCGGGCACCU